CUACAGUGUAGGGUAUCCUGUUUUGAGCCCCCAAGUACUUUGGGUCAUAAUCCAAAUAAUCCAUAAUCUACUUUAUUUUCUUGCUGAAAUUAUUCUAGCUUUGGGCAUGAGUGCUCUUCUUGUUGGCUGCACACACAUGCCCACACGCACACUCCUUAUAUCCCGGCACUCUGAGAUGUUCAGCCAUCCUGCCUGUCUCCUGCCCCAGCCCUGGAGUCAGCCAUCUCUCUAAGAGGAGGUGCUCCUGUGUUCUACUGAGGGUGGUGUCAGAGGCCAUCAUCUGUGUGCUAUGUGUGCUUGUUGCUGUGAGGUGUUACUAUCCCUGGCCCUCCCAGGUGACCGAGCAAGGACGUCUGUGUAUGUGCACUUGUGUAUACACGCGGCUGUUGCACAUCUCUGCAUGGUUUUCAUUGGUUGCUGCUCCAUGAUCCACCACAUCCAGUGUCUCGUGGCCAACUGUGUCAGCACUUCUGUCCUCCGGCGUGGAACACUUGCUGUUCGGCUUUGGAUAUGAGGUGUUCCCAACCAGUAAGUCAAUCUCCUGGUGGAAUUAACUGAUGCCUCAAGGCGAGUGGAGUCUCUGCACCCUCUGAUCGUCACACAAGCUGCCUUCCUCUGCACACCUUCUGCCAUGAUGUUUUGCCUCACCUGGAGCCUUGAGGAGUGCAGCCAGCCAUCCAUGGACUGAGACCUCUGAAACUGCGAGCCCCAAAUAAGUUGAUCCUCCUCUACAAUUGUUCUGGUCAUUAGUCACAGCAGGGAAAAAGCUGACUGAAACACUUACUGUCACUGGGCUUUUUCCUCGCCCUCCUUCUUAAACGUUAAGUGUGCUAAUUAUUUCCAGCGCCCACACUCAGCCCACCGGAGAUGUCCUCUUCACCUGCUGCUUUACCCCGACUGCAAGCUCAUGGGAAGCACACCGUCCAUCCUCUUGGAGCCACUUUCUCUGGGCACCUCAGGGGGAAUACUGGCUUCUUGGUCUACUUCCUGUUGCUCUAACAAAACACCUAAGGCCAGGUUAUUUAUAAAGCAAUCAAGGUUAUUCAGCUCACAGUUCUGGAGACAGAACAGCGCACAGCAUGGCACAGGCACCUGUUCUGCCCCUGCAGGGGGCCUCAUGCUGAAUGGUAACAUGGCGGAGGACAGCACAUGGUGGGUCGGAGCAGGCACGCCAGCUCAGAUCUCUUCUUACAAGGCCACUGACCCCAGCAUGCGAGCCCCACCCUCUCAGCCUCAUGGGACCCUGGUGACCUCCAGAACACCCCACUCCCAGGCCAUUAACUUAUGAAUUGAGGGACCAGGUUUCCAGUCCAUAAACCUUUAUGGGACACACUCCAUGGCACUAGGCAAGGUAUUUGCUUGGAUUCUUGGUUUUACUAAUAGGACAGAACUGCAGAGAGUUGGAAUCAAGGCCAUUUAUCUGUGGUUUCUUUUCUGGAGAAAGCACGAUACUUGCUUUUUUGUUUAAUGUUCAGGUUGAAAUUAGAAACUUGCAUCAGUAUCUGCAGUUUUCUGUGUUUUCACUGACGAUGACUUCAUAUCAGAACUAUCAGGAAUGCUCCUGCACACACAAGAGAAGUGAGCAAGGGCAGGCUUGGGGCAGAUUUUGCCUACGCCAUGUUUCAGCUGGAGGCAGGUGUAGUACCCACCGGAGGCCGUGGGCUUGCUGGAGUGACGUGCUUUUGCUUGGCUCCUCAUUGCUUCCAGAGGCUGAAGGUCUGGCUCUGUCUCCUGCACCACUCCGUCUCCUUGAGUUCCUCUGAGACGCUGUCUUUCCCAGUAACACUCAGAAAAGAUCCAACACCAGAUUUUAUUCUGUUUGUUCAGAUAUGAUCUUUUUUUUUUUGGUACCACUGAGCCACAUGCCCAGCCCUAUUUUGUAUUUUAUUUAGAGACAAGAGUCUCACUGAGACCCUGCUUAGUGCCUCGCCAUCUCUGAGGCUGGCUUUGAACUCUCCAUCCUCCUGCCUCAGCCUUAGCUGCUGGGGUUACAGGGGUGUGCCACCGUGCCUGGCCAGAUACGAUCCUUCUUAGUCCACAAAGUGAGGUGGCCGUCUGUGACAGCUAGCUCCUGGUGUUGCCAGAUUGGAAGAACAGUUUAAAGUCUGCCUGCUCUACGGGCAACACCAGCAAUCCCUUUUGUUCAUUUCUUUCAAUGGGGUUGGAUGGGAUUCUGCCAUCUUGAUUGCCAUUGUUGGAUUUCUUGGUGGAAGAUGAGCUUGCUUUGGACACUAGGUAGCUUAUCCACACCAUAAAAGCAUGGUGCCCCCGAGAACCGGCUCCCAGCAUGGCGCAUCACCUCUGGAUUCUCCCUCCCCCAAAGGUGUCCGAGUGUCCAACCACGGCCCCCACAAGGGCCUGGCUUCAGUACACACGGCCCUUGUGGUUGUCACCCCCCAAACAUCAGGAGCACCCGGUGCACCUGGGAUGAGGUACAGGGCGACACAGCUGAUUCUGGACUUGGCACAGGAGAAAUUUGGCCCCAGGUUUGUGCCACUUUUUCUUCCCUUUGGCUUGACAUCAGAUAACUGUGUCUUAUCUGAGAAGUUUUCAACUCUCCCUCCAGAGCUUUCCCGUCCUUUGGGGGUUUUCAGAUAUAGUAG
rnacentral:lncRNA from 1 species